ensembl:misc_RNA 7SK 7SK RNA
UGAUGUGAAGGUUAUCUGACUGAGACAUCUGUCACCCCAUUGAUCACCAGGGUUGAUUCAGCUGAUCUGGCUGGCAAGGCUGGUGUCCCCUUCCUUCCUCACUGCUCCAUGAGAAUCCCUCCCUAGGACAGGUCUUCAAGCAAGGGUAUAUGAGUAGCUGCGCUCCCCUGCUAGAACCUCUCAAGAAAGUAGCUGGGCAAGCCAGGAAGAGGGAGCCAAGUAAGCAUCCCUGCACUGUGUCUGC